rnacentral:rRNA from 1 species
AGUGAACGCUGGCGGUAGGCCUAACACAUGCAAGUCGAACGGCAGCACAGUAAGAGCUUGCUCUUACGGGUGGCGAGUGGCGGACGGGUGAGGAAUAAAUCGGAAUCUACUUUUUCGGGGGGGAUAACGUAGGGAAGCUUACGCUAAUACCGCAUACGACAUACGGGUGAAAGCAGGGGAUCUUCGGACCUUGCGCGAUUGAAUGAGCCGAUGUCGGAUUAGCUAGUUGGCGGGGUAAAGGCCCACCAAGGCGACGAUCCGUAGCUGGUCUGAGAGGAUGAUCGGCCACACUGGAACUGAGACACGGUCCAGACUCCUACGGGAGGCAGCAGUAGGGAAUAUUGGACAAUGGGCGCAAGCCUGAUCCAGCCAUACCGCGUGGGUGAAGAAGGCCUUCGGGUUGUAAAGCCCUUUUGUUGGGAAAGAAAAGCAGCAGGUUAAUACCCCGCUGUUCUGACGGUACCCAAAGAAUAAGCACCGGCUAACUUCGUG